AUGCGGCCCCGAAAGCCCCGAUUCCACCCUAAAAUGUGGUCCCGAUUCCACCCCAAAACACAGUCCCCCAAAGCCCCAAUUCCACCCCAAAACACGGUCCCGAUUCCGCCCCAAAACUCAGCCCCCCGAAGCCCCAAUUCCACCAGAAAAUACAGUCCCGAUUCCACCUCAAAGCAUGAUCCCAAUUCCACCCCAAAACGCAGUCCCUGAAAGCCCCAAUUCCACCCCAAAACACAGUCCCGAUUCCACCCCAAAACACAGUCCCCCAAAGCCCCAAUUCCACCCCAAAACGUGGCCCCCACAAGCCCCGACAGCGCCCGCCACGUCCGCCCUGACCCACAGAGCCUGUGGGGCACGGCGCCGGGGCCCCGAAAGCCCCGGUUCCGACCCCAAAACGCGGCCCCAAAAGGCCCGAUUCCGCCCCGAAACGCAGCCCCCAAUUCCACCCCAAAAUGUGGUCCCGAUUCUGCCCCAAAACUCAGCCCCUAAAACCCUGACUCCACCCCAAAAUGUGGUCCUGAUUCCACCCCAAAACACAGUCCCCCAAAGCCCCAGUUCCACCCCAAAACACGGUCCUGAUUCUGCCCCAAAACUCAGCCCCCCAAAGCCCCAGUUCCACCAGAAAAUACAGUCCCGAUUCCACCUCAAAGCAUGAUCCCAAUUCCACCCCAAAAUGCAGUCCCUGAAAGCCCCAAUUCUGCCCCAAAAUGCAGCCCCAAAAGCCCCAAUUCCACCCCAAAACACAGUCCCGAUUCCACCCCAAAUCACGGUCCCCAAAAGCCCCAAUUCCACCCCACAACAUGGUCCCGAUUCUGCCCCAAAACUCAGCCCCUAAAACCCUGAUUCCACCCCAAAAUGUGGUCCCGAUUCCACCCCAAAACACAAUCCCCCAAAGCCCCAAUUCCACCCCAAAAAGUGCUCCCAAUUCCACCCCAAAACACGGUCCCCAAAAGCCCCGAUUCCACCCCGAAACGCGGUCCCUGAAAACCCCGGUUCUACCCCAAAAUGAAGCCCCAAAAGCCCUGAUUCCACCCCAAAACACAGUCCCGAUUCCGCCCCAAAACAUGGCCCCCAAAAGUCCCAAUUCUGCCCUAAAUCAUGGUCCCCAAAAGCCCCUAUUCCACCCCAAAACUUGGCCCCUAAAAGCCCCAAUUCCGCCCCAAAACAUGGUCCCCAAAAGCCCCAAUUCUGCCCCAAAACCCAGUCCUUAAAAGCCCUGAUUCUGCCCCAAAAUACAGUCCCCGAAAGCCCCGAUUGUGCCCCAAAAUGCAGUCCUUAAAAGCCCUGAUUCUGCCCCAAAAUGCAGCCCCUAAAAGCCCCGAUUCUGCCCCAAAUCGUGGCCCCCGCCGCCCAAAAUGGCUCCCGGCCACCACAAAAUGGCUGCCGAGGCCUCGAAAAGCCCCAAAUCCCCCCAAAAUCACCCCAAAAUCACCAGGUAUUGGCCCGGUGACAGCUGCUACGCCCCAAAACCCCCCAAAACCCCCCUUUGUGCCCCAAAAGACCCCAAAUCACCCCAAAAUCGUUGACAGCCCCCCAAAAACGUCAAACCGCCCCAAAUCCCCUUGAAACGACCCA
ensembl:lncRNA